GCGGCCUAUCAGCUUGUUGGUGAGGUAAUGGCUCACCAAGGCGACGACGGGUAGCCGGCCUGAGAGGGCGACCGGCCACACUGGGACUGAGACACGGCCCAGACUCCUACGGGAGGCAGCAGUGGGGAAUAUUGCACAAUGGGCGAAAGCCUGAUGCAGCGACGCCGCGUGAGGGAUGACGGCCUUCGGGUUGUAAACCUCUUUCAGCAGGGAAGAAGCGAAAGUGACGGUACCUGCAGAAGAAGCGCCGGCUAACUACGUGCCAGCAGCCGCGGUAAUACGUAGGGCGCAAGCGUUGUCCGGAAUUAUUGGGCGUAAAGAGCUCGUAGGCGGCUUGCCACGUCGGGUGUGAAAGCCCGGGGCUUAACCCCGGGUCUGCAUUCGAUACGGGCAGGCUAGAGUGUGGUAGGGGAGAUCGGAAUUCCUGGUGUAGCGGUGAAAUGCGCAGAUAUCAGGAGGAACACCGGUGGCGAAGGCGGAUCUCUGGGCCAUUACUGACGCUGAGGAGCGAAAGCGUGGGGAGCGAACAGGAUUAGAUACCCUGGUAGUCCACGCCGUAAACGGUGGGAACUAGGUGUUGGCGACAUUCCACGUCGUCGGUGCCGCAGCUAACGCAUUAAGUUCCCCGCCUGGGGAGUACGG
rnacentral:rRNA from 1 species